CCGCGCCGCUCUUGGAGCGUCCCCGAGGGUCCCAGACCCGGAGACCUUGGCUUCUCCUCCCCUCCCUCUUCUGACCUGGAGCCUUCUUUCUAAAUUAAUGUCCCCCCUCCCCCCCGCGGGUGAGAUGGGUGGGAUGGAAGGAGCAGGGGCUGCGCGAUUUGCGCCCUCUCUCUGAUUCCUUUUCUUAGAACUGAGCUGGGACACAGCCAGGGGGUGGGGUGGGGGGAGGGGUCAGAGGAAAGCCACCCAGGGACCCUGGGCGGAGGCCCGGGAGGAGAGGGCUGUGUCUGCUCGCGAGGAACCCUCCCCCUGCCCUCCUCCAAUCCCCCUCCCCCGCUCGAGUAACCGAGACCCCUGGCGAGGCCCAGCGCGCUCACUCUUCCUCUUCUCCCCCCCUUUUUUUGCAGUUGUUAUUGAAGAUGAUAGGAUUGAUGACGUGCUGAAAACUAUGACAGACAAGGCACCUCCUGGUAUUUAACUCCCCCAAAGACAAUGGGUUAAGGGUGAGGAUAAGAAUAAGAACGGCGCUAACAGUUAUUGGCAAAAAGCGUGUGAAGAGAGGAAGCACUUUGAAAUUUAUUACUAGCUUGCUACCCGCGAUGGAAUCAACAGCCUGUAUGUCGAGUCAGGCCGGGAGACAGAUGAUGAGGCGGGAGAAGGAGGAGGAGGAGGAGGAGGAGGAGGAGGAGAAGGCUCUGGGCUCCUCUGCAAAAAAUAAAAUUAAAAAAAUAAAUAACAGAAUCACUAUAUACACACACACACAUAUAAAGAAAUAAAGUCUCAGUUGCAGCUAUUUGUCAAAAUUAAUAUCCAUUUCUUUUUAUAUACAGUGAAUGUUGCGCAAUUAUAGAUCCGGAUUUUGAACCACUUUAAUAGUGAAGCGGCAGUUCCGGGUGUUUGAGGUGGUGGCAAUCUUCGCUGAUUUGGCUGUUCCCAAUGUUUACAUUAUUUAGUCUUGCAAAAAUUAUUCUGUGCACUUGGAUGUGAAAUGCUGUUCAGUUUUAUUUUUUUAUGUUGUUAUCCUUGGAUGUACAAAAAAAAAAUACCGGAAAAUGAUCUGUAUAGAUAUUCUGUUUUAUUUUGGUCCUCUUUCAAAGUUAAUCAGGAAUGUGUUGAAGAUAAGAGAACUUUUUUAAGAAAUGAUGGCUACCUAGAAAGAAUCCCUGUUUUAUUUUAAAAUGAAUUGUAAAGCUGUGUUUCUUUCUUACUGCAAGCUAUUUGCCCAAGUUCAUGCAAAUGGAUACAUUUUUCUAUGUCAGGAAAGAAAAACCAUAAAAAAAAAACACAAAGAAAAAAAAUGCUUGAGCUUUUUCUAAUCUCUCUCUGCAGUCUGUUGGGUGAGCAGCCUGUUUUUUCUCUCUGAUAUUGUGUCAGUUUAUUUUCUUUAAUGGACUGUAAAAAACAAAAUGUAAUCACAAGAGUGCCAAAUAUCUGGAAAUGCCAAACGGCAUUUUGGUUUCUUUUCUUUUUCUUUGUGCUCUGAGUCCACGUAAAGGAAUGCUUAGAGUGUCUUUUCUGUUAUUUAUAGGGGUUCUCUUAAGGCACACCAGCUGCCUGUUUUGCAUGGUAUUUGCAAAAAUGCCUCUUGCGUGAGGAAAUCUUUUACCAUCUUUCCGUUUGCAACUUUGGACCUCAAGAGGUUUCUUCCCUUCCCUUCCCUGGUCCUCUUUUCUUAACUCGAUAUUCUGUAUGUUGCACCUUUGACCAGCACACAGGGCUAUUUCUCCGAUGUACAAUAAAAGAACUGUUCCUGUGUCUCACUCCUCUCUUUUCUCUGCUUUGGUUCUGGGGGACUUGCUUUUUGCCUGUGAAGCAAAAAGGCAAAGUGGGAGGCACAGUGGACUGGGCUCCGAUGGUAGGAAAGACAAGCUGGACAGCAAGUUCAAAGAGCAAGUUCAUUCACUGUGUGGAUUUUCACUGGGCCUCCCUGCUUCCCUGAGGUUCCUGCCGUCGCCCAGGGGUGUGUGGGGGGUGUGGAGAGAAGGGGGGCUGGUGUGUAGGGCGGCAGUCUUGUUAAGAACAGUGGAGGCUGGCAGGCUGGGACUCAAAUCCCAGCUCCUUCACUUCCUAACUGUAUGGAUUUGAGCAGGACCCUGUCCUUCUUUAAGCCUUUUGAAAUCUGUAACGUGGGGAUAAUGCAGCUCCCACCGCACAGGUUGUGGGGAGGGUUAACACAGUACCUAGCCCUCAGGAUCGUAUGUCCAUAUAAUCCUUUCUGAGGGCCACCUGUCCGAAAAUGCAGGGCCGAGGGAGCGCUAGGCCCCCCUCACCCCUCUCCUUCCUGAGUUCACUGGUCCUGGCGUGAGGGAUGAGUCGGUCCUCUGGGGUCCACGGCCUGGGAUGUCUCAGGCUUCCUCACUCAGAAGCUUCCCUGCAACCACCGCUCAAAAAGGCUCCUUCUGAAAAAGCUUCUCAGCCCCUCUGUUCAGGGCAGUUAAUGGCGGUGGAGCAGGCCCCUGGGGAAGGAGGGGUUGGGAGAAGGAUUUUGGCUGAAGGAAGUCUGUUCCACAUCCAGGAGCCCCAGUGCCGGGAGCUUUUAAUGUGUUUGUUGUAAAACUGUCAGCCUGGGAGUCACAACACAGCUCACAGUGACGGGGAGCCUGCCUGUGACUCAGCCAUCAGCAGUGUCAAGAGAAGUCUCCACACCCUUCUAACCAGAUUGUCUGAGGUCUUCGCUCUAUGGAUGGGGACUAGCAGGUCAAGGAUGCAUGCUGUCAACAUGGCUUAUCACUACUGACGCUGACCUUGGCUUGGGAUUCUUCUGUCCAGGUGAUGCAAGUGACCCACUUAUCUGCGGUUCAACUCUGCCUCCGUGUUGAGCAAGCCACUGUGGUCUAGAUGUAAUCGUGAGUUCCAGGCAAACCGGGGAAAAACAGAAAUGCCACAAGGCCCAAGGUACUGCCUGAUGACCGAUAGAUGGAACCUUACAAAAGAGAAAGAGAAAAAAAGAGAGAGAUGAAAAACACAACCAGCACCCUAAUAAAAGCAACUUCCUGUGGAGGGGAGCUGUCACUCUGCUUAGAAACUGUGCAGAAUUUUCUCUUGGAAACCUUCAGGCAGCUGCUCUAGUUUAUAAAAUCUGCCUAUUGGAAGGAAGGAGAAGGGGAAAAGCGGUUGUCGUUAUUCCAGCAACAGAGAUUCUCCCAAACCAUGUGCAAAAAUAAAUCCCUGGAGACCGAGCUGUAUCCGGGGAAACCUGGCCUCGGGGCAGGAGCCUGUGUGGUGGGUCCUGGGGAUAGCGAGCCUGUGUCCUCCGGCCCCAGACACUUCUCCAGUGGGACAGAGAACCCAGAAAGAGAGCCCCACCUUGCCGGCACUGCCCCCUCUCCCCGACUUUCCCCCUUUUCUGGAAUGAAGAUUGGUGUCUGGCGUCACCUCUCACAUGGGAGGGUUUGUUCUUAGCCCGGGGCAGUGCACACCCAUGGGCCUGGAGGAAGGCCUUUGACCCAGAAACAGCUGUUUGAGGACAAAAGGUCACUAAAGGGGAAGGGAGGUCAGGAAGGACAGGCUGAAGGGGAGAGCAGGACCCGGGAAAUGUGCCAUGGGAAACCCUAACGGAGUGGUGAUGGGGGUGGGGUUGGUGGGGGGCCGACAGUGAGGACAGGAAGUCGCUAGGGAAAGGGGUGUCCUGUAAGGCAGAAAGUG